GGAGGGUGCAAGCGUUGUUCGGAAUUACUGGGCGUAAAGGGCGUGUAGGCGGCUAGGCAAGUCAGAUGUGAAAUACCUUGGCUCAACCAAGGAAGUGCAUUUGAAACUGCUUAACUAGAGUACAGGAGGGGAAAGUGGAAUUCCCAGUGUAGAGGUGAAAUUCAUAGAUAUUGGGAGGAACACCGGUAGCGAAGGCGGCUUUCUGGCCUGAUACUGACGCUGAGACGCGAAAGCGUGGGGAGCAAACAGGGAUUAGAUACCCUGGUAGUCCACGCCGUAAACGAUGUGCACUAGGUGUAGGAAGUGUUGACCCUUUCUGUGCCGAAGCUAACGCAUUAAGUGCACCGCCUGGGAGUACGGUCGCAAGGCUA
rnacentral:rRNA from 1 species